AUUAAGAUAUAUAACUAGAGCUGGGCGAAAUAGAGAAAACCAAAUAUCACAAUAAUUUUGACCAAAUACGUCAAUGUCAAUAUUGUGACGAUAUUGUAGGGUUGACAAUUGGUGCUUUCACAACAUAUUAACACAAUGAGAGUUUUGAUAAAUAAUCAUCAGUAAUUUGGAUACAAUGACAAAGUGGGCAAAGGCAAAUAAUAGAUCAGCUAGUAAGUCUGGUAAGUUCAGAAAAUGACAUCACUUUACUGUAAUGUA